ensembl:lncRNA novel transcript, antisense to TM9SF1
AAUUCGCUUCCCACAAAGAGGUCCGGCUCCUCCACUUCCGUUAGGCUGAGCACCGGCUGAAUCGCGGAAACCCGACUCUGGCAAUGUAGGUUCCCCACGCCGGGAGUUCCCAAGCUGGGUUGGAGAACUCGAGCUUCGGGCAUUCAGUGGCCAGCUCGGCUUUAUAAAGGACCGUGCCCUUAACAGCAGGGCUCGAGUUCCUAUAUCCAGACCAAAACCUCCAACUGCAUGAGCCUUUUUCUUAAUAAAUUUUAUUUUGGUAAUUGUAAAAAGAAAAAUCAGGACCAAAACUAAAGGCAACUUAAAAAGUUCAAAUAUAUAAUCCUUAUGUGAUAGAGAUUUAUAAUUUCCAGGCCCUCUCUGGGGAAGGAAUGCCCAAAGGGCAAAAGGGAAGGCAACAAUGCCAUCACACAAUUCAGUCAAUCAGAAGAGAAGCUGGUAGGAGAGUUCAACAGGGCAUGAAGAAAGGGAGAGAACAGCAAUAGUUCUGCCAUACAGAACUCAGUCCAUCUUGAGGUUAACAUAGAUAUACCGGAUGAACUUUAGGGAAGAAAAAAAGGAGAUGGUGCCCAGCAUGAGGAAGAAGACAUAACCAGUGAGUAAGGAGUAGCCGAAGAACUCUACUGUCUGUACUGCCCCAGACAUGUUGGAGCGCCGGGCAUAAUAGAAAACUGAGUAGAGGAAGAUGAAGAGGCCGGUGGAGCCAACACUCAGCACAGAUCGCCACCACCAGCGGUAAUCCUCCCCAGACAACUGGAAGUAGUGCCAAGGGCCAGGAACUGGGCACCCACGCCAAGCACAGCACAGAGCAGACCACGGUAUGGGGGGAAGCGGAAGACAUCUGUAUGGAUAAUUUUCCAGCCAUUGUCACCCUGGUCAAAGUCAUCACCAGAACCUGCAGAGGUGGUCUCCUCAUCUAAGUUGUACCGAGCCAGGUCAUUCCGAAGCACACGCAUUAGAAUGACAGCCACAAAACCCACCAGUAAAAACACAAGCACCAUGGAGUUGAUGAUGGACAACCAAUGGAUUUCCAGUGUUCGAGGAAAGAAACCACCAUCGUCACCACGGCGCCUGUCACUCCGACGCUCCACUGAAGUCUCAGACCAGCGCACGCUAUAAGUGUGGGUAAGGCCUAGGAACUCGUCAGGUCGUAACCCAUCCAAGCUGUGGGGCUUGACGUCCCGCACUGAAACAUUGGCAAAUAUAAUUCGGUCUCCAU